ensembl:lncRNA
AUGAGGACAGAUCCUACAGCCAGUAGCCAAGGAUCAGGGGGCGCCCCCUUCUGUCUGAAAUGUCUUCAGGGAACCUGGGGCCCACUUCCACCUCAGCCCUGGGGAAAUGAGGGCCAGGCUUCUGCAGUUCCCCUUCCUGUGGGGCUGCUGAUGGGACAACCCCAUGACAGGGAGAACCCAGCCUCUGAGUGCGUCUGUCUGUCCUCCUGGACACCGUGGUUUCAUCCAUCUGCACAGCUGGGGCCAGUGGGAGGAGACGCCAUGACCCCACCCUCACAGACCUACUCUGACUUGGUGAGAUUUCAAGAGGGGAAGAGGCACCCUAGACUUGAAGGGACUUCACUCCGCAGCCAAGCCCUGGUCUGUCAGGAAAUCUUGGGGGUCAGGAUGCUCACAGGGAGGAGAGGACCUGCUCAGGCUUCAGGCAGCAGGUCUCUCACAGGGAACUCUCUUCCAGGGCUGAAUCUGAGCCCCCAGGACCCACGUGCAGGCAGGCUCCUCCCUAAACCCACCACCUGGGCUGAGCCAGACUGUGUGAUCACCGGGAGGAGACCUGUGACCACCUGGUGUCAGGGUACCCUGGAGGCCCAAGAGUACCAGCUGGAUAAAGAGGGAAGCUCAGGGUCAUGGAACAUUAAGGAAACCACUGGGGUCUGGGAACAAGGCCAGGACCCAAAUCUCACACAGGCCAGAGCACAGUGCAGAGAAGCAUCACUGUCAUUAUCAAAGUGCCACAGGCCGGUCAGAACACAGUGAUCCCCUGGAGCUGGUGGUGACAGGUGAGAGGACACUCAAGGGGCCCAGCCGCAGGCCCUGCCCUCAGGAAAACGGUCACUUGCGCCCUGACGUCACUGUCUUUUAGGGAUGUCCCAUAAAGGGGCAGAAGCGCUGAAGCUCUCAACCUCUGGGCGGCCCUGCAUAUCAUGCAGAACCAUCUGCAAACCAGGCUUGAGUCUUCACUUUCUCUGUCAACUGAUCACAGAGAAAUCCCCAUGAAAUUACAGGUGCAGGCUGGAAGGCAGAAGUUGUGGAGCAGGGGCAGGAACCAUGGGUAUUUGGCCCCCUGCUUUGUGUAAAUUACUCACACUUUCAGGGCCUGAGUGGACAUGAUCUUACCAUACAGCUUGCAUCAGCUAACACACACUUCACAUUUCACGGUGCCUUGGUGACCUACGCCCAAGCAUCCAGUCUCUCCUAAGGUUUAAUAAUGGAGAAAAAUAUAUUGUCUUUUUUAAAAUUUUCUUUUCCUUUCUUUUUCUUUUUCUUUUUCUUUUUUUUUUUUGUGAUGGAGUCACUCUUCUCGCCCAGGCUGGAGUGCAGUGGCAUGAUCUCGGUUCACUGCAACCUCCACCUCCUGGGUUCAAGCGACUCUCCUGCCUCAGCCUCCCAAGUAGCUGGAAUGACAGGCAGGUGUCACCAUGCCCGGCUAAUUUUUUUAUUUUUAGUAGAGAUGGGGUUUCACCGUGUUGGUCAGGCUGGUCUCGAACUGCUGACCUCAGGUGAUCUGCCCACCUUGGCCUCCCAAAGUGCUGGGAUUACAGGUGUGAGCCACUAUACUCGGCAAAAAAAAAAAAAAAAAAAAAAAAAAAAAAAAAAAAUUACAUAUAUAUAUGUUUUUCAAAAGGAGACUAGCUAUCUGUGAAGGAUGAUAGGCUAUUGCCCCACAAUCCGAAGUGGCUAAGCUCCAAUUCACCUGCAGGAAGGAGCUUGCCAAAACCCCCAAACAGCAUCUCCACCUGCCACUGACACUUCAAGC